GACGAACGCUGGCGGCGUGCUUAACACAUGCAAGUCGAACGGAAAGGCCCUGCUUUUGUGGGGUGCUCGAGUGGCGAACGGGUGAGUAACACGUGAGUAACCUGCCCUUGACUUUGGGAUAACUUCAGGAAACUGGGGCUAAUACCGGAUAGGAGCUCCUGCUGCAUGGUGGGGGUUGGAAAGUUUCGGCGGUUGGGGAUGGACUCGCGGCUUAUCAGCUUGUUGGUGGGGUAGUGGCUUACCAAGGCUUUGACGGGUAGCCGGCCUGAGAGGGUGACCGGCCACAAUGGGACUGCGAUACGGCCCAGAGUCCUACGGGAGGCAGCAGUGGGGAAUAUUGCACAAUGGGCGGAAGCCUGAUGCAGCAACGCCGCGUGCGGGAUGACGGCCUGCGGGUUGUAAACCGCUGUCGCCUGUGACGAAGCGUGAGUGACGGUAAUGGGUAAAGAAGCACCGGCUAACUACGUG
rnacentral:rRNA from 1 species